rnacentral:misc_RNA from 1 species
GCAUAUGACUACUGGCAGGAUCAACCAGGUAGCAUUCCUCAUUCAACAUCAAAAACGUAUGAGCCGAGCAACAAAGGUUCGUUCAACACGUUGAUGACUGUCAUUCGCUAGAAGCAUGGGACGCUCGAUUUGGGACACAACACAAGAUACCAAUGACCUUGUUCCCGCUCAAUGUGCUGUACCCAAAAAAUCAUGCACAACAUCAUGGGCCAACAAUCCAAGCACACCAAAGUGACAUGAAAAGUGGAACACAAUGUGUGCUACAAAGUCAAUCCAACACUGCAUCACAAAGUGCAACACUAGAUGGAUGUUCCAGAAUUCCAACAAACGAAUGCCCACAACGCAGGAAUACAAUACAGGAAACCAAAAUCGAACAAACAAAGCUCAAUCCUAAAAUUAAAUAGGGAUGCACCACAAAUUGUCGCUGCUCAAGCAGGGAUCCAACUUGCAAAUACAAACCUAACACCACUCA